CGCAGUACUUCAGUUGCUAUCACUGUCAGUAAUGUGAUGUUCCUGAUAUUUCGCUCUUUGAGUUUUGUACUCCACACACACCCAUGGCAGCAAUGUCUUUUUACUCGCUUUUCACCUGCUACACUGGAAAAUAAAAGGAGCAAGGCGCUCGCUUCCUGGCUCGUUGAAAACGA